CCUACGGGAGGCAGCAGUGGGGAAUAUUGGACAAUGGGGGCAACCCUGAUCCAGCCAUGCCGCGUGUGUGAAGAAGGCCCUCGGGUUGUAAAGCACUUUCAGUGAGGAAGAACGCCUGGUGGUUAAUACCCAUCAGGAAAGACAUCACUCACAGAAGAAGCACCGGCUAACUCCGUGCCAGCAGCCGCGGUAAUACGGAGGGUGCGAGCGUUAAUCGGAAUUACUGGGCGUAAAGCGCGCGUAGGUGGCUUGAUAAGCCGGUUGUGAAAGCCCCGGGCUCAACCUGGGAACGGCAUCCGGAACUGUCAAGCUAGAGUGCAGGAGAGGAAGGUAGAAUUCCCGGUGUAGCGGUGAAAUGCGUGGAGAUCGGGAGGAAUACCAGUGGCGAAGGCGGCCUUCUGGACUGACACUGACACUGAGGUGCGAAAGCGUGGGUAGCAAACAGGAUUAGAUACCCCAGUAGUC
rnacentral:rRNA from 1 species